CUAAAACAACGAUUCCCAUACAAUCACCGAAGUUAAGCAACUUCGAGUCUAGUCAGUAUUUAAAUGGGUAACCGCUUGAGAGUACCUGGUGCUGUU